rnacentral:rRNA from 1 species
GCAGUCGAACGGUAACAGGUCUUCGGAUGCUGACGAGUGGCGAACGGGUGAGUAAUACAUCGGAACGUGCCUAGUAGUGGGGGAUAACUACUCGAAAGAGUAGCUAAUACCGCAUGAGAUCUACGGAUGAAAGCAGGGGACCUUCGGGCCUUGUGCUACUAGAGCGGCUGAUGGCGGAUUAGGUAGUUGGUGGGGUAAAGGCUUACCAAGCCUGCGAUCUGUAGCUGGUCUGAGAGGACGACCAGCCACACUGGGACUGAGACACGGCCCAGACUCCUACGGGAGGCAGCAGUGGGGAAUUUUGGACAAUGGGCGAAAGCCUGAUCCAGCAAUGCCGCGUGCAGGAUGAAGGCCCUCGGGUUGUAAACUGCUUUUGUACGGAACGAAAAGCCUGGGGCUAAUAUCCUCGGGUCAUGACGGUACCGUAAGAAUAAGCACCGGCUAACUACGUGCCAGCAGCCGCGGUAAUACGUAGGGUGCAAGCGUUAAUCGGAAUUACUGGGCGUAAAGCGUGCGCAGGCGGUUUUGUAAGUCUGACGUGAAAGCCCCGGGCUCAACCUGGGAAUUGCGUUGGAGACUGCAAGGCUUGAAUCUGGCAGAGGGGGGUAGAAUUCCACGUGUAGCAGUGAAAUGCGUAGAGAUGUGGAGGAACACCGAUGGCGAAGGCAGCCCCCUGGGUCAAGAUUGACGCUCAUGCACGAAAGCGUGGGGAGCAAACAGGAUUAAUACCCUGGUAGUCCACGCCCUAAACGAUGUCUACUAUUGUCGGGUUUUAAUUAACUUGGUAACGCACUAACGCGUGAAGUAGACCGCCUGGGGAGUACGGUCGCA